rnacentral:lncRNA from 1 species
CCAUGGAGGAGAAACUUUCCAUUCCACUGAGGCAGCUGGUGACAGGGACUAUCCUGAUAUAAGAGUAAGUUUCAGUCCAACUUGGAACUUCGGUAAUAAUUCUGAGUUUACAGACAUUCAGCAAGGAUGAUCAGAUUGCACUUUUGGAAAAAUCUAUUUCAAGUGUGAUAGCUUGUGUGCCUAGGGCAAGCAUUCUUUCUUUUCCUACUAAUAACUCAACAGGUUCAGCAGGCAAUAGCACUGCUUACAGGUUCUUCAUUCUUCACAGAGCCUAGUUUGGGGAACAGACCCAUGUUACAUUUUCUGCUUUGGAUCUUGGACCAGUAAGACCU